rfam:Parcubacteria group bacterium CG2_30_45_37 cg2_3.0_scaffold_22889_c, whole genome shotgun sequence.
GCCGAAGUGGCGGAAUUGGUAGACGCACAGCGUUCAGAGCGCUGCGGGGGCAACUCCGUGGAGGUUCAAAUCCUCUCUUCGGCA